GGCGAAAAAUGAAUGGGAGAUUUUACAUUGAACUUUAUACAAUUAAGUACCGGGAAUGUGUGUGUGUGCGUGUGUGCCUGCACAUGUGAUUGUUUUAGAAUGUUCAUAGAUUGUGCUAUGAGUUAUAAAAGCCCUUUAAAAAUUAGAUUAGGUAUCAAAUUUAUGUCUUCAUAGCAACCAUAGUAUUGUGAGGUAAGAAGGUCAAAUAGAUUGGGAUGUUUCUCAAAAUAAAGGAAUGAUUGCUGUUGACCUCAUAAUGGGGCAGACAAACUUAAAGGCCAUUUAGAAAAGCAAACUAAGUAAGGGUGAAUUGGGACUUGAACUCUUAUUUUUCCACUCUGUCAAAUAAUACUCAAUUAAAAUAUGGGUUCUGAACAGAGCUAUUUCUAAAUUGUGAAGCAGUAUAAGCCAAAUAGAUUUACAACUAUCAAAUUGUCACAUGGCUAACAAGACAUCCAUCUAAUAAAUUUAAGGAGCAAUAUCUCAGGACAAAAAAAAUGUGUAACAUUGCUUCAGAGAAAUCCCAUAAAGAACUUAGCUAAACUGUAUCCUUUGGAAAGCAGCUGAAGAGAAACACCCAAUGUUUUUGGCUCCCACUGUCAAAAAAUAGGAAGUAAAAAAAAAGGAACCCAGAUUACACUGAUUCCUGGUAUCCUUCCAAUGUGAUGAUGUCAAGUUAAUCACCUCUCAACCAAAAGCAUUUGAGCAUGGAAUACUUAGGAUUUGACCUCAUAGCAACAGAAGACAGAAGACUAGUGUUAGCAUGUGGAGCCCCAGAAGAGGACAGAGCACUCUACAGGAACAGCUGGCUCUCAGCGUGUCUGAGUGACGUGAGUGAAAAGAAAAUACGCAGUACGUUAAACCGCUGGGAUGUGGUGAGGGCUAGAUACUUCAUACUUCUUAUCUUGGCUAAUACAAUGAUCUCAAAGGGUUGGGGUUAAGAGUAAAUAAAGAUAAUAUUUAAUGCA
rnacentral:lncRNA from 1 species